GCUCGAAUGGUGGAAUCGGUAGACACGAAGGACUUAAAAUCCUUUGGCAUUUAAACGCCGUGCGGGUUCAAGUCCCGCUUCGAGUA
rnacentral:tRNA from 2 species